GAAAGUAAAAAAGGGCGCAUGGCGGAUGCCUUGGCUCUCGGAGGCGAUGAAGGACGUGAUAAGCUGCGAUAAGCUUUGGGGAGGUGCAAAUGACCUUUGAUCCAGAGAUUUCCGAAUGGGACAACCCAAUAUCUUGAAGAGGUAUUAUCCAACGUUGUUGGAGGCUAACGCAGGGAACUGAAACAUCUUAGUACCUGCAGGAAAAGAAAAUAAACAAUGAUUCCCCCAGUAGUGGCGAGCGAACGGGGAACAGCCCAAACCAUCCAUGUUACGGCAUGGGUGGGGUUGUAGGACUACGCCGUUGCAUGAAGACAUCAGAGAAGAACUUUCUGGAAAGAAAGACCAUAGAGCAUGACAGUUGCGUAUUCGAAUGUUGUCGAAGCAUAGUAGUAUCCUGAGUAGCGCGGAGCACGAGGAAUUCUGCGUGAAUCUGCCGGGACCAUCCGGUAAGGCUAAAUACUCCCGAGAGACCGAUAGCGAACCAGUACCGUGAGGGAAAGGUGAAAAGCACUUCGAACAGAAGAGUGAAAUAGUUCCUGAAACCGUGCGCCUACAAGCGGUCGGAGCUCGUUAAUGAGUGACGGCGUGCCUUUUGCAUAAUGAACCUACGAGUUGCCUUUGCCGGCAAGGUUAAGUGUGACGACACACGUAUCCGAAGCGAAAGCGAGUCUGAACAGGGCGUAUAGUCGGCAGUGGCAGACGCGAAACCAAGUGAUCUACCCUUGGCCAGGUUGAAGGCUGGGUAACACCAGCUGGAGGACCGCACCAAUAAGCGUUGAAAAGCUUCUGGAUGAGCUGAGGGUAGGGGUGAAAGGCUAAUCAAACUUGGAGAUAGCUCGUACUCCCCGAAAUGCAUUUAGGUGCAGCCUUGCGGGUUACUGAUGUGAGGUAGAGCGACUGAUAAGAUGCGAGGGCUUCACCGCCUAUCAAGUCUUGACAAACUCCGAAUGCGCAUCAGUUCUACCGCAGGAGUGAGGGCAUGGGUGCUAAGGUCCGUGCCCGAGAGGAGAAGAAUCCGGACCACCUGCUAAGGUCCCGAAAUGACAGCUAAGUUAAACUAACGAAGUCUGACUGCUAAGACAGCUAGGAUGUUGGCUUGGAAGCAGCCAUUCAUUUAAAGAGUGCGUAACAGCUCACUAGUCGAGGAGUCGGGCGUGGAUAAUAAUCGGGUAUUAAGUUGUCUACCGAAGCAGUGGGAUCAUUAAUAUGAUCGGUAGGGGAGCAUUCCAGUCAGCGUCGAAGGCGUACCGUGAGGUAUUCUGGAGCGUCUGGAAAAGCAAAUGUAGGUAUAAGUAACGAUAAAGGGGGCGGGAAACCCCCUCGCCGAAAGACUAAGGUUUCCUGAUCAACGCUAAUCGGAUCAGGGUCAGUCGGGUCCUAAGGCUCAGCCGAACGGCGAUGCCGAUGGCAGAAACGGUUAAUAUUCCGUUACUACCUUCAGGAGUGACGUGGAGACGCAGUAGUGACAGUGCCGCCAUCUGACGGAAUAGAUGGUUGAAGGGUGUAGGAGUCGAUCAUGGCAGGCAAAUCCACCAUGAGAUCCGAACCUGAUAGUAUGCCGCGUCCUUCGGGACAAGGCAAUAGUGCGCGUAAGCAUGCUGCCGAGAAAAUCCGCUAAACUUAAUCCUGCAGGUACCCGUACCGCAAACGGACACACGUAGUCGGGAUGAAUAUUCUAAGGCGCUUGAGUGAUUCACGGUUAAGGAACUAGGCAAACUGACCCUGUAACUUCGGGAUAAAGGGUCCCUACCCUUUUAUGGGAGGGCGCAGAGAAUCGGUCCAGGCAACUGUUUAACAAAAACACAGGGCUGUGCCAAAUCGAAAGAUCCAGUAUACAGCCUGACACCUGCCCGGUGCUGGAAGGUUAAGAGGAGAUGUCAUCGAUAAGAGAAGCGUUGAAUUGAAGCCCCAGUAAACGGCGGCCGUAACUAUAACGGUCCUAAGGUAGCGAAAUUCCUUGUCGGGUAAGUUCCGACCUGCACGAAUGGUGUAAUGAUCUGGACGCUGUCUCAACCGUGAGCUCAGUGAAAUUGUAGUAUCGGUGAAGAUGCCGAUUACCCGCGAUGGGACGAAAAGACCCCGUGAACCUUUACUAUAGCUUAUCAUUGAAUCUGGGCACGUGAUGUGUAGGAUAGGUCGGAGGCUUUGAAGCAGGUACGCCAGUAUUUGUGGAGCCGCUGUUGAAAUACGACCCUUUAUUUGUUUGGAUUCUAACCCGUGGAACGGGGACAUUGAUUGGUGGGUAGUUUGACUGGGGUGGUCGCCUCCAAAAGCGUAACGGAGGCUUCUAAAGGUGCCCUCCGGCCGAUUGGUAACCGGCCUUAGAGUGUAAUGGCAUAAGGGCGCUUGACUGGGAGACUGACAAGUCGAUCAGGUAGGAAACUAGAGCAUAGUGAUCCGGUGUUUCCGUAUGGA
rnacentral:rRNA from 1 species